GCCCUCUCACCCCAAGGCUGGUCUCCAGCUCCUGGACUCAAGUGACCCGCUCACCUUGUCCUCCAAGUGCAGAGACGUGGGCUCAUAGACGGGGUCUCGCUAUGUUGCCCAGGCUGGAGUGCAGUGGCUAUUCACAGGCGCGAUCCCACUACUUAUCAGCACGGGAGUUUUGACCUGCUCCGUUUCCGACCUGGGCCAGUUCACCCCUCCUUAGGCAACCUGGUGGUCCCCCGCUCCCGGGAGGUCACCAUAUUGAUGCCGAACUUAGUGCGGACACCCGAUCGGCAUAGCGAACUACAGCCCAGAACUCCUGGACUCAAGCGGUCCUCCUGUCUCAGCCUCCCGAGUAGCUGGGACUACAGGCGUGCGCCACCGCGCCUGGCAAUGUGUGCUUUUUAAAUAUUACAUGUUUCUUAUUAUGGCAAGAGUGUCCACAGAAACACCAACAGCAGGCCGACAUGAGUCCAACACAGAGUCACCCAUGAAUUCGGGAAGGAACCCUGCUGAGGAUUGUAGUCGGUGUUCUGGUCUGAGAGACAGCCUCCUCUCCUAAGGGGUCUUCGGUUGAUGGAGUGGCUGUGUGGCCAGCUUCAGUCUGUCCCUGGGAGGAGUGCCCAGCUCCUCCGUCACAUCUCAGGUCUACACAAGCCUCAAGGGAUGCCCAAGGCCUGAGUUCAGUCUUGACGACCGGAAAAGAAGGAAGAAGAUUGGGUGUAAGCAAUGUAUGUAUAUUCAGUGUGCAUUUCCUUCUCUUAAGCUUUCCAUGGGACAGUUCUGUGGCUUCCAACUGCCCCUUAGCCUUGCUGUGGGGACCUGUCCCAGGAUGGCCAUUUCUGGCUCCAUUUGUAAUGGCUCAAUAACCUUUUUUGUUUGUUUGUUUUUUGUUUUUGUUUUUGUUUUGUUCCAGAGGUUUCUUAUUCUCAGGAGCUUGGGUUUGAUAUAACAAAAGUUGACCAUUUCAGUCACACUCAUCCACAAGUCAUGUCUUGACUUAGACAAUUGUUUGAAGAUUUUGAGUUCCUCUUCUUCAAUGCCAAAACCACUAUUUAGGGAUUCUAGUUCAAGCUAUGAGCCAUCUUUCCUCAGUCACUACAGCCAUCUUCUGUUUUGACCCCCUAUUCUAUUCUUUGGUUUCUCUUUCUCCUCUCCUACAAUCCAUUUCCACAGUGCGAUGAGGUUGGUCACCAUUUUUAAAUCCAUUUCCUAUAUUCCGCACAGCCCAUGAGUUAAAGUCCCCCCGCCUUCGGAGGAUUCACAGCUCCCUGGAGCUCCCCACACUGUCUUUCAUGGGACUUGCUGUGGGGGAGGGGUGCUAUCGUCAUCAUCAUCAUCAUCUUCACCCUGCAGCCUGCCUGAGAGCAGUUACCAAAACAAAUGUGCAAGGAGGGAGGCCAGAGAUAAAUGUUGUAUAAUACUUUGUUUCUGUUUUGAUAAAUAAAGCUUUCCUGGAGAUCAGAGGAUGGAGCUAGCCACUAGUUAA